rnacentral:rRNA from 1 species
AUACCCCAGUAGUCAAGCAGAAAAUGAUGAAUGUCAUAGAUUAGACAUAUAAUAGUUUAUUCUAUAAAUGAAAGUGUAAGCAUUCCACCUCAAGAGUAAUUUGGCAACAUUGGAACUGAAAUCAUUAGACCGUUUCUGAAACCAGUAGUGAAGUAUGUUGUUUAAUUUGAUAAUCCACAAAAAACCUUACCACAAUUUGAAUAUUUAUAUUAUUUUUUUAAUCUAUUAUAUGAAAGAAAAAUGAUACAUUUACAAGCGUUGCACGGCUGUCUUCAGUUAAUGUCGUGAGACUUUGGUUAGUUCCAUUAAAUUAACGUAAACCCUCACUUUAUUUUUAUAUAAAGUAGUUCCCCACUAGAUUGGAUAAGAUAACAGGGACUAAGACAAGUCAUCAUGGCCUGAAUAUUGU